AUGCUCCCUUUGGCAACACAUACACUAAAAUUGGAACAAUAGAGAGAAGAUUAACACGGCCCCUGUGCAAGGAUGACAUGCAAAUUUGUGAAGCAUUCCAUAUUUUU